AAGUCACUUUUAUAACUUUGCAAGGUUUUUAGAAAAAUGCACCAUCCUCUACAACAUCAAAUUAGUUUCAUUAAAUUCUCUAUGAAAUAUGUCUUGGUAGUGCAUUUAUGUGAACCUGUAGCUGUUAAUAUAUUUUUUAUAAAAACUUAGUCAAAGUUAGAGAAGUUUGACUUAG
rnacentral:pre_miRNA from 1 species